AUAGAUGUAUGUGAGAUACCAUGAUCACAAAGGUGGUUCACCCAGGGUGAGGCCCAGCCAUUGCACUGCGGCUGUGCUGACCCCUGCGAAUUCCCCAAAUGUGGGAAUCUCCACUGCAUAAUCUCUGGUAAUGGAGGACUGCGUUUGCGCUCUCCCCUG
rnacentral:snRNA from 1 species